rnacentral:misc_RNA from 1 species
AAAUGCGAUAAGUAAUGUGAAUUGCAGAAUUCAGUGAAUCAUCGAAUCUUUGAACGCACCUUGCGCUCCUUGGUAUUCCUUGGAGCAUGCCUGUUUGAGUAUCAUGAAAUCUUCAAAGUAAAUCUUUUGUUAACUCAAUUGGUUUCUACUUUGGUAUUGGAGGUCUUUGCAGCUUCACACCUGCUCCUCUGUGUUCAUUAGCUGGAUCUCAGUGUUAUGCUUGGUUCCACUCGGCGUGAUAAGUUAUCUAUCGCUGAGGACACUGUAAAAGGUGGCCAAGGUAAAUGCAGAUGAACCGCUUCUAAUAGUCCAUUGACUUGGACAAUACUUUUAUGAUCUGAUCUCAAAUCAGGUAGGACUACCCGCUGAACUUAAGC